UGUAUGCUACAGUAAUGGUAUGUUUGGUAAUUUGAAUAGGUGUGUGGAAACUGGAAACCCUAAUGAUUCGAAACUCACAACCCUAAAACGGCUGUUUCUCCUAUAAAAGCAACGCCAUCUCCUCAUCUAUUUACGCCCCUCGGCCUGGCAUCCCAAGAGUAGUCAUGGGGAUUGGGAGUUUUCUCGGUGAUGAACAAAAAUGAUGACGAGUCCGAUAUUCCAUUCUUUUAAUCGUGACGACAAACCGAGGCAUUUGUCUGAGAGGCAACUCCGUACCCAUCUAAUGAUCUAAUCUCCUCGUAUUGUUUUGUUUUUAAUUUUUUUGAGAUUGUCAAGCAUAAUGAUGAGGAAUUUGUGUGACUGAUUCUUUUGUAUGAAGAAUUAAUUACCUCCUACUCAUACUGAAUGCCUGACGAUGAAA